GGUCGGGUAGCUCAGUUGGUAGAGCGCGCGCCUGAAAAGCGCGAGGUCCGCGGAUCGAUCCCGCGCCCGACCACCG
rnacentral:tRNA from 1 species